UUGGCCUUUCUAGGGAGUUUUUCCUAGCCACGUGCUUCUAUAUCUGCAUUGCUUGCUGUUUGGGGUUUUAGGCUGGGUUUCUGUACAGCACUUUGAGAUAUCAGCUGAUGUACGAAGGGCUAUAUAAAUAAAUUUGAUUUGAAGUAUUAAGUAACAAAAAUGAUAAGUCACACACACACACACACACAGACACCCUCAGCUCUGAAUCAGCCCUUCUACGCCUCUUCCCCUCUGUCACGACUUUCGCCGAAGUCGGUGCCUCUCCUUGUUCGGGCGGCGCUCGGCGGUCGGCGUCGCCCCAUUUGCGAUCCACUUUUCUUUUUCCUUUGGUUUUGCCUUUGUUUUCACACACCUGUUUUCCAUUUCACAUUUAUUUGUUCCUGUAUUUAAACCCGCUGUUUCCCCCAUGGUGUUGUGCGGGAUUAUUACAUGUUCAGUUAGGCUUAUUUUGAUGGCUGUGUUCACCCGUGCGUUAUCUUUACCGUCUUGUUUUGGUCAAGUGUAUUGUUACCUUGUGCCUUGUUGAGUAAAGUACGUUGCUCACUCAUUCUGCUCUCCUGCGCCUGACUUCAUGCACCAGCUACACUCACCUUCUGACACCCUCCCUCUAUUUACAUCUCUCUCCCCUUUUUGUCCCCCUCGCCCUCUCCAUAUCUCUCGUGUUUAGCCUGCAAGCACUAUUUCAAUCCUCUGUGAGAGAGAGAGAGAGAGAGAGAGAGCUAGUGCGCGCGAGAGAAAGAGGGAAAGGGGAGGGUAUGUCAGACAGGAUUUAGUGUUCAAGUGCACAUGUAGAAAAUUGCCUGAAUAAAAGGGAGACUAAGCGGGAAAUAAGCAAGGAUGAAGGGAGGCAAAAAGAGGCACAAAGUGGAGAGAGCAGUGCUCUUAUGCUCUCUUUCUGAGAGAAAAUGUAUUAACCCAGGAAUGAGGGAAGAAAUGGAAGUACAAAAAUGAAUACUGGGAGAGAGAAAAAAAAUCCAGCAACCCCCUCCUCUUCCCUCUCUCCCCAACAACACACUCCUCCUCUUCUAUCCCUCCCUCCUGGAUAUUUCACCAUGAAAUCCCAGUCUCGCUCUAGCUAGCUUUCCCUUUUCUCCCCUCCCACCUCUUUACACACAGGCACACACACCCGGACUGACUCCUUCCCUCACACGCCUACUAUCCACUUUCGCCUGAGACCGCAGCCAGAGCAGGGCUCAGUUUUUUAUUUGAUUUUUUAUUUGCCUUGCUUGCUUUGGGUCUUUCCCUCUUGUACAGCGAGACGAGUCCCAUUUCACCCCUCCUCUGCCCCUGAAAACAUAGGCCCUGGAUUGUCCCUGCAUCAGACUGCAUGCUACCAAUUGAUUUGUGCAUCUACUCCUCCCUAUUAUUUUAGCUCUUUAUAUUAAAAAUUGCUCUCUAGCUUUAAUGUAAAAUUCGGUUCAUUUUGAGUAAUUUCUUCACAUACCCAUUCUGGAAGAGAGGACGAAGAAAAGACGAGAACGCUCACGGAAUGGACAGAUGAAAGGGGACAGCAGAAAAAAAGAGUGAGAAAAUGGAGAGCAUGAUCUGUGGGAGAGCAAGAGAGACCUGACCUAUGCACCCAACAUUGCCAAUCCCAUUCCAUGUAGCCCGAGACCUGAAAAGAAUGCUGUGGUCUACUCUUGUCUUGAGUCCGUGGAAACUUCCCACUAAGGAGUAACAAUGGAAAGAAUUUCAGUCCAGCCUAAGUAAGGUAACAUCUCUGGCAAGUUUGGAGGUUUAGAGAUGAGCCAUUAUGAGGUGGAGCCGUUCACCAACCCAACACACAACACAAUUAUAUGGUAUCCAAACUAGUGGCAAAUUGACUCUUUCUUUCAGGGAUUGUCGUAAGUAAGUUUCCCACUAACUGCUGUUCACCGUUUUGCUACAAAAGCCUUUAUACACCUCUCACUAUCAUUGUUGUGUUGUACUUUUAUCCUCAAAUAGAUUCACAUAAGUAUAUUUAGAGACUUGACUUAUAUCUAAGCAUGUUUUGUUGUCCCUGAGACCCUUAACCUGUGAUUACUUUAAGGUCACAGGUGAGGUCCUUGGGAACAAGGCUGCAUGCAAGUUCAUCAGAAUUUGGGCGAAUAAAAAAAACUAUUAGGUAGAAUGAUGUAAUCGGGAUCAAGAUGUCAUUGGAUGAACAGCCAAGGAAACACAGAAAUAUCACCACCUAAAGCACCAGUUACCCUACUGGAAAUAUCACCACCUAAAGCAUCAGUUACCUACUGGAAAUAUCACCACCUAAAGCAUCAGUUACCCUACUGGAAAUAUCACCACCUAAAGCAUCAGUUACCUACUGGAUAUAUCACCACCUAAAGCACCAGUUACCCUACUGGAAAUAUCACCAACCAAAGCACCAGUUACCCUACUGGAAAUAUCACCACCUAAAGCAUCAGUUACCUACUGGAAAUAUCACUGCCUAAAGCAUCAGUUACCGUACUGGAAAUAUCACCGCCUCAAGCACCAGUUACCCACUGGAAUCUUACACAAAAUAAACACAUUCUAUUUGCAAUUCUAACAUGUUCCACCUCAUGUGAAAUUACUUGAUUACCUGUUUCCUAUGCAUUUGUAAUGUGUUUUGGAACUACAAAGGCACUCCAAACAACCUUUAAGAUGUUUAUGAAAUCAUUUUUUAUGUUACAAUUCGAUUUGUGUUAUAAUAAAUUUUGUUAUUGUGAAAUUAAUGUAUAUUCAUACGUUUUUAGCAUGUACAUUUCUGGUAGGGGACCUUCACAAAAGUGUCUUUAAUAGAAUAAUAAUAUUAAUUUUAUUCACAAAUGAUAAGGCUAAACUCCAAUGUAUUGAUAAAGGAAAUACACAUUUUCUUGGAAAAAAUGUAUAAGGGAUGACAUUGACAUUGUAAAUAAGGACACUAAAAGUAUGUCACACAAGCAAUUAACAAAGGUGUAUGGAGUAUAACGAACUCAUCGCAGCUCGGCCACGAAAAUGGAAGAGGCAAUUUCUCAAAAUAUAAAGCAAUGAAUUGGUUUGUCUGCCACCAAUGAAAAACCAUGCAUGGCUUAAAAUGACUAGUAUAAAUAGUAAAAAGUAUCAGUUUCACUUAAGGUCGAGAGGUUUGAUAACUACACCGCAUAUAAUUCUAGAUAUUUGGGAACAAAUUGUUUAUGUCCCAAUACCAUGGCAUCGGGUUUAUGAACUGAUUUACAAAACAACAAUUGAAGCAUAAAUCCAUUAUUUUUAAUUGAAUGUUAUUAUGUAAAAUUCUCAACACAAAAAGAAUGCUCAAUAUAUGGGGCAUUGAACAGUCAGUCCUGUGCAGACUCUGCCACGAAGAAACAGAAUUAAUAGAUCAUCUCUUUUGGUACUACCCUUCGGUGGCUCGCUUUUGGAGUCAGGUCCACAAGUGGUUGUUAAGUCCACAAGUGGUUUUUAAUAAGUCUGUGCUCAGAUUGACCUACAAACAGUACUGUUAGGAGAUUUGAAAAACCCCGAUCAAUUAAUGGGAAAUAUGAUAAUACCCUAAGGUAAAGUAUUUAUUUUUAGGAGAAUCUCGGUAGAAAUGGAACAAAUAGAGACGUUCAAGACCCUCAUAAAACAUCACAGUAAAAUAGGAGGAUGUAUGCAAAAGGAAAUAGUCAAAUGUUAGUGUAUUGGGAAAGGUGGCUUAGUCUGUGGUUAUCUGAGAGUAGGAAUUCAGAUUUUUUUAAACAUUUUUACAUUUGACCUUGGAGUCCAGUGUAAUUAGGAAAGAAACAUCAUACACUGACGGUACAAAACAUUAGUAACACCUUCCUAAUGUUAAGUUGCACCCCCUUUUUGUCCUUGUGAAACGCUUGACACCUUGUCGAGUCCAAUCCCCGAUGAAUUGAGGCUAUUAUGAGGACAAAAUGGAGUGCAACUCAUUAUUAGGAAGAUGUUCCUAAUGUUUUGUUCAGUGUCAUAUAUAUAUUUACAAAGUUUAAGUCGGAUGUUUACAUUCACUUAGGUUGGAGUCAUUUAAAAUUAGUUUUUCAACCACUCCAAAAUGUCUUGUUAACAAACUAUAGUUUUGGCAAGUUGGCUAGGACAUCUCCUUUGUGCAAUACACAAGUCAUUUUCCAACAAUUGUUUACAGAGAUUAUUUCACUUAUAAUUCACUGUAUCACAUUUCCAGUGGGUCAGAAGUUUACAUACACUAAGUUGCCUGUGCCUUUAAACAGCUUGGAAAAUUCCAGAAAAAAUGUCAUGGCAUUAGAAGCUUCUGAUAGACGAAUUGACAUUAUAAGAGGCAAUUGGAGGUGUACCUGUGGAUUUAUUUCAAGGCAUUCAAACUCAAUGCCUCUUUGUUUGACAUGUAUUUUUUUAUUUAACCUUUAUUUAACCAGGUAGACUAGUUGAGAACAAUUUCUCAUUUGCAACUGCGACCUGGCCAAGAUAAAGCAAAGCAAUUCGACACAUAUAACAACACAGAGUUACACAUGGAAUAAACAAACAUACAGUCAAUAAUAUAGUAGAAAAAGUCUAUAUACAGGCAAUAAAAAGGCCAUGGUGGCGAAGUAAUUACAAUAUAGCAAUUAAACACUGGAAUGGUAGUUGUGCAGAAGAUGAAUGUGCAAGUAGAGAUAUUGGAGUGCAAAGGAGCAAGAAAAAAAGAAAUACAGUAUGGGAAUGAGGUAGUUGGAUGGGCUAUUUACAGAUGGGCUAUGUACGGGUACAGUGAUCUGUGAGCUGCUCUGACAGCUGGUGCUUAAAGCUAGUGAGGGAGAUAUGAGUCUCCAGCUUCAGUGAUUUUUGUAGUUUGUUCCUGUCAUUGGUAGCAGAGAACUGGAAGGAAAGGCGACCAAAGGAAGAAUUGGCUAUGGGGGUGACCAGUGAGAUAUAUCUGUAGUGCGUGCUACGGGUGGGUGCUGCUGUGGUGACCAGUGAGCUGAGAUAAGGUGGGGCUUUACCUAGCAGAUACUUGUAGAUGACCUGGAGCCAGUGGGUUUGGCGACGAGUAUGAAGCGAGGGCCAGGCAACGAGAGGGUACAGGUCGCAGUGGUGGGUAGUAUAUGGGGCUUUAGUGACAGAACAGAUGGCACUGUGAUAGACUGCAUCCAAUUUGUUGAGUAGAGUGUUGGAGGCUAUUUUGUAAAUGACAUCGCCAAAGACGAGGAUCGGUAGGAUUGUCAGUUUUACUAGGGUAUGUUUGGCAGCAUGAGUGAAGGAUGCUUUGUUGCGAAAUAGGAAGCCAAUUCUAGAUUUAACUUUUUAUGGCUGCAGGGGCAGUAUUGAGUAGCUUGGAUGAAAAGGUGCCCAUUGUAAACGGCCAGCUCCUCAGUCUCAGUUGCUAAUAUAUGCAUAUUAUUAUUUGAAUUUGAUAGAAAACACUCUAAAGUUUCCAAACCUGUCAAAAUAUUAUCUGUGAGUACAACAGAACUUAUAUUGCAGGCAAAACCCUGAGGAAAAUUAAAACCGGAAGUGGCUUCUAUUUUGAAAACUCCAUGUUCCAUCGCCUCCUUUUGCUGGAUUUAAAGGGAUAUGAAACAGAUUCCUUUUCCUAUCGCUUCCUCAAGGUGUCAACAGUCUUCAGACAUAGUUUCAGGCUUUUAUCUUGAAAAAUGAGCCAGAACGAUAACAUUGCGUCAAGUGGUCACAUGAGUUUUGCUCGCGCAACAGAAUUUGGACAGCCAUUGUUUUCCUCUCUCCUACUGUGAAAGACAUUUGCGGUUAAUAUAUUAUCGAUUAUAUAUUUUAAAAACAACCUGAGGAUUGAUUAUAAAAACGUUUGACAUGUUUCUGUGGACAUUAUGGAAACUAUUUGGAAUUUUCGUCUGCGUUGUCGUGACUGCUCUUUCCUGUGGAUUUCUGAACAUAACGCGACAAACAAAUGGAGGUAUUUUGGUAUUUCUUUAUGGAACAAAAUGAACAUGUGUUGUGUAACUGGGAGUCUCGUGAGUGAAAACAUCUGAAUUUAAUUUUACCUUUAUUUAACCAGGCAAGUCAGUUAAGAACAAAUUCUUAUUUUCGAUGACGGCCUGGGAACAGUGGGUUAACUGCCUGUUCAAGGGCAGAACAACAGAUUUGUACCUUGUCAGCUCGGGGGUUUGAACUCACAACCUUCCGGUGACUAGUCCAACGCUCUAACCACUAGGCAACCCUGCCGCCUGAAGAUCAUCAAAGGUAAACAAUUAAUUUGAUUGCUUUUCUGAUUUCCGUGACCGAGCUACCAGAUGCUAAGUGUACUUAAUGUUUUAUCAUGCGAUCGAUAAACUUACACAAAUGCUUGGAUUGCUUUCGCUGUAAAGCAUAAUUUCAAAAUCUGACACAAAAGGUGGAUUAACAAAAGGCUAAACAGUGUUUUCCUAUAUUGCACUUGUGAUUUCAUGAAUAUAAAUAUUUAUAGUAAUAUUUAUUGUAUGUAGCGCUAUGCUAUUCAGCGGUUGUUGAUGACACUUAUCCCGAUAUCGGGAUUGCAGCCAUAACAAGUUAAUUUAGGAUUGGAGAUGUUUGAUAUGAGUCUGGAAGGAGAGUUUACAGUCUAACCAGACACCUAGGUAUUUAUAGUUGUCCACAUUGUCACACCCUGACCAUAGUUUGCUUUGUAUGUUUCUAUGUUUUGGUUGGUCAGGGUGUGAUCUGAGUGGGCAUUCUAUGUUGGAUGUCUUGUUUGUCUAUUUCUAUGUCUGGCCUGAUAUGGUUCUCAAUCAGAGGCAGGUGUUAGUCAUUGUCUCUGAUUGGGAACCAUAUUUAGGUAGCCUGGGUUUCACUAUGUGUUUGUGGGUGAUUGUUCCUGUCUCUGUGUUUUCACCAGAUAGGACUGUUUAGGUUUUCACACAUUUAUUGUUUUGUUAGUUAUUUCAUGUCGAGUUCCUUUUAUUAAAGAACAUGAAUAACCACCACGCUG